CCUAGUCAAGUCUUUAAAUUGCACUUUAAGGGGAAUUCCUGUGUCUCGCAAAAUAACUAAAAGAAGAUGACCUCUCAUCAUAGCAAAGACAAAAGAAAUCAGUCAUUGGAAAACAGUAAAAACCUCUGUUAAACAGAACUUGGUACUAUUUUAAAAAGAAUAACAAAACUCACAGAAGGGCUAAUAGCGUUGUCUUCAACUGUAAGUAAAUCAUAGUAUUAUAAUGCAGUUUUCAAUUCAAAUAAAUGAUUAUCAUUUAUUUGCAAUAUACAAAUCAUUACAGUAAUGACAACCAGAGGCAGUUAUUUAAUAGCAUUAAUGUCCCAAACAAAAAGUCCUGAUGGUGGCAGACUCAGACAGGUUUAGUGAGUUUCUGCAGAGCUGAUUAACAGUGGUUGAGUCCAGAUCAGGACAGCAGUGGAUUUCUUUCACAGCGCUAGUCGUCUUGCUGGUGUUGUGAAUAGAAACAGCAGUCUCAUCACAUAAGUAGUGUUUCCUCAGAGCGUCAGUGGAGAUUAAUGAGAGCUCAACCUCCCACCGGCCGGACCAGCAGGCCUCGCUCCGCUAAUCCAGGCCUAGCGCUAGUGCGGCUCAUCGCUCAGACACGAGAGGCUUUAGCACAAUCACGUUUUUGCCUCGUCGGCACAGUUUUGACCCACUAAACUCAUCUGCUUAUCUGUAAUCACGCUUUAUAAGCUCAGGAUGG
rnacentral:lncRNA from 1 species